rnacentral:rRNA from 1 species
CGGAAGGCAGCAGUGAGGAAUAUUGGUCAAUGGACGAGAGUCUGAACCAGCCAAGUAGCGUGCAGGAUGACGGCCCUAUGGGUUGUAAACUGCUUUUGUACGGGAAUAAAGUGACCUACGUGUAGGUUUUUGCAUGUACCGUAAGAAUAAGGACCGGCUAAUUCCGUGCCAGCAGCCGCGGUAAUACGGAAGGUCCGGGCGUUAUCCGGAUUUAUUGGGUUUAAAGGGAGCGUAGGCCGUGCUUUAAGCGUGUUGUGAAAUGUAGGCGCCCAACGUCUGCACUGCAGCGCGAACUGGAGCAUUUGAGUACGCAGGAAGUAGGCGGAAUUCGUCGUGUAGCGGUGAAAUGCUUAGAUAUGACGAAGAACUCCGAUUGGGAAGCCAGCUUACUGUAGCGCCACUGACGCUGAUGCUCGAAAGCGUGGGUAUCGAACAGGAUUAGAUACCCUGGUA